UACAGAGGUGGCAAGCGUUGUUCGGAUUCAUUGGGUGUAAAGGGUGCGUAGGCGGUUUGGAAAGUCAGAUGUGAAAUCCUGCAGCUUAACUGCAGAACUGCAUUUGAAACUCCCAGGCUAGAGUAUGGAAGAGGUAAAGGGAAUUCCCGGUGUAAGGGUGAAAUCUGCAGAUAUCGGGAAGAACACCAGUAGCGAAGGCGCUUUACUGGUCCAUUACUGACGCUGAGUGCACGAAGGUGUGGGGAGCAAACGGG
rnacentral:rRNA from 1 species